CCUUCCCCAGAGCCCCGUUCCUCCAGCUCUGCCAGGAGCAAACUCUGGACAGGGAUCAUGGGGGCCGUGAUAGGAGCGGCCUUCCUGGCUUUGGGGCUCUUCUCCUACCUGAAGAGCAAGAAAGCCACUCCCAUCCAACCUCCUGCAGGUGAGUUUCUCCUCUUCCUCCUUCAUCUCAGCCCCUCCUACAAGUUAUAGGUGUUUUUUUUAAUAUUUUU